AUAAGACCUUGAUGGCUCCCGGAAGGCUGAAAGUCAUCACACUGUCAGCAGGCAGUUUCUAUCAAUUUAUGUUGGAGAGUAAUAAACAGAAUACUAAACUCACUUCCGUGAAAUACCAUUUUUAUUA